rnacentral:rRNA from 1 species
UACAGAGGUGGCAAGCGUUGUUCGGAAUUACUGGGCGUAAAGGGCGCGUAGGCGGCCUGUUAAGUCGAACGUGAAAUCCCCGGGCUCAACCCGGGAACUGCGUCCGAUACUGGCAGGCUUGAAUCCGGGAGAGGGAUGCGGAAUUCCAGGUGUAGCGGUGAAAUGCGUAGAUAUCUGGAGGAACACCGGUGGCGAAGGCGGCAUCCUGGACCAACACUGACGCUGAGUGAGCGAAAGCCAGGGGAGCAAACGGG